rnacentral:lncRNA from 1 species
ACAAGUUCAGGAAUUUCACGGACCUCUGCAUUUGAUAUGUAAUACUUCCUAAAUGGCAAAAGACGGCCAUCAACAAUAGCAAUGUCAUCAUCAAAGACAACUGCAGAGACCUUGAUACCCUGUUCAUAGGGGGAAAAAACUCAACAGAUUCAAUUAGUGAGACAAAAAGAUAAUCAACACAAUUGAAGGUGGGCAAGAAGGAUCAAUUCGGAUAGCACAAACCUGCAAGUCACCAAACUCAAAACGACGGAAAGACCUGGAUAAAUCCCCAUCCC